GAUGAAGAACGCAGCGAAAUGCGAUAAGUAAUGUGAAUUGCAGAAUUCAGUGAAUCAUCGAAUCUUUGAACGCACCUUGCACCCUUUGGCAUUCCGAAGGGUAUGCUCGUUUGAGUGUCAUUGUACUCUCACACUCUCCGAUCCUAUGGAUUCGGGGAGCGGUGGACUUGGGUGUUGCUGCCUUUCCUUGUGGCUCACCUCAAAUGUGUCAGUGCACCUCUUGGUUGGACAUAGUACGGCGUGAUAAGUGUCUUCGCCGGCACCUCGCAAGAGGGUGGCCGAUCGGGAGCUCUGUGCUUUCAAACCGUCUUCGGACAAUUUCUGACAACUUGACCUCAAAUCGAGUAGGACUACCCGCUGAACUUAAGCAUAUCAAUAACGGAGGA
rnacentral:misc_RNA from 1 species